CCGGCGACCGGCGCACGGUGAGUAACACGUAUGCGACCUGCCCCCCGCAGGGGGAUAACCGGGAGAAAUCCCGACUAAUACCGCGUAACGCCGCGGACCUGCAUGGGUCUGCGGCCAAAGGAAGCGAUUCCGGCGGGGGAUGGGCAUGCGGCGCAUUAGCUAGUCGGCGGGGUAACGGCCCACCGAGGCGACGAUGCGUAGGGGUUCUGAGAGGAAGGUCCCCCACACUGGUACUGAGACACGGACCAGACUCCUACGGGAGGCAGCAG
rnacentral:rRNA from 1 species